rnacentral:lncRNA from 10 species
AUCCUAUCUUGUGACUCAUGCAUGGCACGUCUAUAAGUCAAGCUGGAAUCCUCUAAAAUAAGUCACAUGGGAAAAAAUUCUGAUCUUAUUCUAGACGAAGAAUGAAAAGCCAGGAAGCUACAUAACCCAAGGGUUUUCGUAUGUCUGACACGGAUGGAUCCACUAGACCCACCAACUGGUGGUUUCACUGCUCCUAUAACUUCACCCGGAAGCAACUCAGCACAAAAGGACAGCUUAGACCCCUUAUCAUUUCAUUUCCACUCCAACCAGUCAGCAGCAAGCACCCAUUUCCUAGCCACCCCACCAUUACCUCCAAACUGCCUUUGAAAAGCCUCUACCCUACAAGCCUUCAAUGAGAUUGAUUUAACUGUCUCCCGCAUGGCAUGGCUAGCCU